rnacentral:tRNA from 1 species
AGGAUAAUAGUUAAAAUUUAUAACAUUUAAUUUGCUCUUAAAAAUUAUUAUAUAAUUUAUCUUA